UCAGACGCGACGGGAGAAUUCGGGAUUCGUCCCGGUGCCGAAGGAGCAACCGCCCCGGUAAACUCUCAGGCAAACAGGACCGCCGCGCCGAU
rnacentral:ncRNA from 1 species